rnacentral:rRNA from 1 species
AGAGUUUGAUCAUGGCUCAGGACGAACGCUGGCGGCGUGCUUAACACAUGCAAGUCGAACGGAAAGGUCUCUUCGGGGAUACUCGAGUGGCGAACGGGUGAGUAACACGUGGGUGAUCUGCCCUGCACUUCGGGAUAAGCUUGGGAAACUGGGUCUAAUACCGGAUAGGACUCCGAAUCGCAUGGUUUGGGGUGGAAAGUUUGUAACGGUGUGGGAUGGGCCCGCGGCCUAUCAGCUUGUUGGUGGGGUGAUGGCCUACCAAGGCGACGACGGGUAGCCGGCCUGAGAGGGUGUCCGGCCACACUGGGACUGAGAUACGGCCCAGACUCCUACGGGAGGCAGCAGUGGGGAAUAUUGCACAAUGGGCGCAAGCCUGAUGCAGCGACGCCGCGUGGGGGAUGACGGCCUUCGGGUUGUAAACCUCUUUCACCAUCGGCGAAGCCGGGGGCUUUUGUUUCCGGUGACGGUAGGUGGAGAAGAAGCACCGGCCAACUACGUGCCAGCAGCCGCGGUAAUACGUAGGGUGCGAGCGUUGUCCGGAAUUACUGGGCGUAAAGAGCUCGUAGGUGGUUUGUCGCGUUGUCCGUGAAAUUCCCUGGCUUAACUGGGGGCGUGCGGGCGAUACGGGCAGACUGGAGUACUGCAGGGGAGACUGGAAUUCCUGGUGUAGCGGUGGAAUGCGCAGAUAUCAGGAGGAACACCGGUGGCGAAGGCGGGUCUCUGGGCAGUAACUGACGCUGAGGAGCGAAAGCGUGGGGAGCGAACAGGAUUAGAUACCCCCGUAGUCC